AGAGAGAGAGAGAGAGAGAGGCUAGAAUUGGUGCAUGAAGAGGAGGAUAUAUUUGAUUUUGGAAUGGGGCAAUUGGUAAGUUAAUAUUCAUAUGUGGUAUCUAUUUAAGAGUUAAAAUAACCUCAAAACCUUGUGUAGCAAUAAUGGAGAUGGUAUAUACUGUUAUGUAAUAUUUGAUGAAUGAUGACACUAUUAGGAUUCAGUUUGUUGACUUAUCUGAAUAGGAUCCUCCAUGUUUGCAUAAUAUUUUCAUAUGUGACCUCCUAUUUGGAUGUCGUUCUAUUUCUAGGUUGAACUAAUUGGAUUUUGUAAAUUUUGCAGCUUACUGUGUAGUUGCAGUUGAGU
rnacentral:misc_RNA from 1 species